AUUUUACGGAAGCAGACAACGAAAACUAGUAGAAAGGAGAAAGCGGCUGUGGCAGCGGUGAGCGGAGGGAGAAGACGGGAAGAGAGAGGGCGGUGGUGGUUUGGGAAUUGGGUAGGAGAUGGUGUAGCUACAGGGGGGGAAGUGACAAAUAACGGUGGGGAUUCCGGCAGCGGUGGAGGAAUGGAACGAGAUGGCAUGGUGAGAAAGGUGAAGAAAGACUAGAAGGAAGAUUUCAUGGGGGUUGUUGUAUUGAGGAGGUUGUGUAGUGGAAAUGAUUUUUCUGCGUCCUCC
rnacentral:misc_RNA from 1 species